rnacentral:rRNA from 1 species
AGUACGUGAAACUGCUUAGAGGUUAAGCCCGAUGAACCUGAAUAUCCGUUAUGGAAAAUUCAUCAUUAAUAUUAUAAUAUUUAUCAUAUUAUAAAAAUAGUGUGCAAUUUUUCCAUAUAAGGACAUUGUGAUCUGUUAAUGUAUUAAUUAUUUAUUAAAAGAUCUUAUACUUAGGUUUAUUUGAAUUUGUUAUCUUCGGAUUUCAAACAUAAAAUAAAUGUAUUUGAUUUAAUAAAUCAUUGACAGAUUUCAUUAUAUAUAGUGCUUAAAUUUUUUUUAUAAAAUUUUACAAUAGCAUGAUAAUUCUAUUUAUUGUGUUUAUUGUAUGCGCUUAUAUGAUUAACAAUGCGAUAGAUUCAGGAUACCUUCGGGACCCGUCUUGAAACACGGACCAAGGAGUCUAACAUAUGUGCAAGUCAUUGGGUAUUUUUAAUAAAACCCAAUGGCAUAAUUAACUUAACUGUUAUAUGGGAUUAGUUUAAAUUUUAUUAUGAAAUAUAAAUUCAAUCCCGGGGCGUUCUAUACAGUUAUACAUAAUGAUAUUUAUAUUAUUUAUGCCUCUAACU